rnacentral:tRNA from 1 species
CGGACUAUGGCGCAGCUUGGUAGCGCACUACACUGGGGGUGUAGGAGUCGCAGGUUCAAAUCCUGUUAGUCCGACAA